rnacentral:rRNA from 1 species
UACGGAGGGUGCAAGCGUUAUCCGGAUUCACUGGGUUUAAAGGGUGCGUAGGUGGGCAGGUAAGUCAGUGGUGAAAUCUCCGGGCUUAACCCGGAAACUGCCAUUGAUACUAUCAGUCUUGAAUACCGUGGAGGUAAGCGGAAUAUGUCAUGUAGCGGUGAAAUGCUUAGAUAUGACAUAGAACACCAAUUGCGAAGGCAGCUUACUACCCGUAUAUUGACACUGAGGCACGAAAGCGUGGGGAUCAAACAGG